GACGAACGCUGGCGGCGUGCUUAACACAUGCAAGUCGAACGGAAAGGCCCUGCUUUUGUGGGGUGCUCGAGUGGCGAACGGGUGAGUAACACGUGAGUAACCUGCCCUUGACUUUGGGAUAACUUCAGGAAACUGGGGCUAAUACCAGAUAGGAGCUCCUGCUGCAUGGUGGGGGUUGGAAAGUUUCGGCGGUUGGGGAUGGACUCGCGGCUUAUCAGCUUGUUGGUGGGGUAGUGGCUUACCAAGGCUUUGACGGGUAGCCGGCCUGAGAGGGUGACCGGCCACAUUGGGACUGAGAUACGGCCCAGACUCCUACGGGAGGCAGCAGUGGGGAAUACUGCACAAUGGGCGGAAGCCUGAUGCAGCAACGCCGCGUGCGGGAUGACGGCCUUCGGGUUGUAAACCGCUUUCGCCUGUGACGAAGCGUGAGUGACGGUAAUGGGUAAAGAAGCACCGGCUAACUACGUG
rnacentral:rRNA from 1 species